GACGAACGUUGGCGGCGUGCUUAAUACAUGCAAGUCAACUGAAGCAGUGGUAGCAAUAUCGCUGUGGAGGUGGCGCACGGGUGAGUAACACGUAGGUAAUCUGCCUUCAGGUCUGGCAUAACUCCGGGAAACCGGGGCUAAUAGCAGAUGAUGCAGCGGCUCGACAUCGAGACAGUUGUUAAAGCUAUGGCGCCUGAAGAUGAGCCUGCGUCUGAUUAGCUAGUUGGCGGGGUAACGGCCCACCAAGGCAACGAUCAGUAGCUGGUCUGAGAGGAUGACCAGCCACACUGGAACUGAGACACGGUCCAGACUACUACGGGAGGCAGCAGUAAGGAAUAUUGCUCAAUGGGAGAAAUCCUGAAGCAGCAACGCCGCGUGAGGGACGAAGGGCGUUUGCUUGUAAACCUCUGUAGUGAGAGAAAAAAAUCCCAAUCUUUGGGACAUGAUGGUAUCUCAAAAGUAAGCCCCGGCUAACUACGUG
rnacentral:rRNA from 1 species